UACGGAAUGUGCAAACGUUAUUCGGAAUCACUGGGCUUAAAGAGUCCGUAGGCGGCAUGUUAGGUGAGGUGUGAAAUCCCCACGGCCCAACCGUGGAAUUGCGCUUCAAACCGGCGUGCUCGAGGAAGAUAGAGGUGGGCGGAACUGAUGGUGGAGCGGUGAAAUGCGUUGAUAUCAUCAGGAACACCGGAGGCGAAGGCGGCCCACUGGGUCUUUUCUGACGCUGAGGGACGAAAGCUAGGGGAGCGAACGGG
rnacentral:rRNA from 1 species